rnacentral:tmRNA from 1 species
UUUAUUGAAUCUAGUUAAAAUGCUUUUAUAUUGUUGUUGUUGGCUUGCCAACUACGACGAUAAACGAAUUUCGUAAUAACCAUUACGGACGUGGGGGCAGUACCCACCACCUCCACCAUUAAAACUUAUGGGGGUGAAAUAGGAUCGACGGGUGACUAAAGGCUAUUCUUUCGUUCGGAAUUGUUCCACCGUAACGGGCUAAACUUUAAAUGCUAACGAAAGUUACGCUAUUGCUGCAUAAUUAACUUAGGUUAAUUAUAGAAGCACGGUCUGGGGCACCGGGUAACAGAACGCCCCUUU